rnacentral:ncRNA from 2 species
UCCAGCGGAAGAGGAGCACUGCCCAGGCAGAUGUUUUGUAGAGCCUCAACUCUAAUACAAAACAUUCAGGGGGAGCAGUGCCGAGAUGAGUCAAAAUUGUGGAUUUGGCUUGUCGGUUGAAUGGGCUGAAUCCCUUCAACUGUCAUUAGUAUCACACUAAUGAAGAGCUUCUGAGGUC